CUCACCUUCUGUGCUUUAGGCUGUCCCUACAGCUUGUCAUUUUUGUAAUCUGUUGUUAUGUUGCGUCUUAAAGGUAUGGUUCCUCCUUCCUGUGCAAUGAGCCAGUUUAGAGAACUGAAAAUGAAGCACAGCAAAAGCAUGAUUCGCGUCUCUGUGUGCUGCUUGUAUCUUUGUAGAGCAGCAAAACCAGCAUGAAAUUGAUGUGAUCUUCUUUCAUUGCUGCCCAAAAGGUUCUGAAUAGCAACCCUGGAACAGAGUGGGCUUGUUGACUUCAUUCUGCAGCUGCAUGAAAAAUCUGCCUCUAACCCUGCAGCUUCAAGAAGACAGCACAGCAUCUGUUCACAUAAAAGAUAGCUUUGAGCUUGUCUUUUUUAAAUAAUGAGAAAUUUAAACUACUGGGUUUGAAUGGAAACUUGGAAACAGGUUACUUGGCUUCCCUCAUUUGCCAAGGAAAGUUUUCCACUUAUCUUUGACAAAGGACUGGAUGGAUUUUCUUCUAUUUAAAUAAUUUUGCUGCACAUGUGGAGAAAUCAACAUCUAGUUUAUGAGACGCUUCAAUUUUGGUAUAAUAAUUAUGUGAAACUCUGUUUAGUCAAGGUACAAAGUCUGAUUUUUAUGGGAUGGCUCUUUCUAUAUGCAUCCCUUUAUAUUCAUUUGCUCAUCACCAUGAUAGCUUCCUAUCAGUUUGUCAACACUAUGCACUUCACAGAAGUUAUGGUUAACCCAGGGGCUAAAUGCAGAGUGCCAGGGAGCAACAUCUGGGUAUCUGAUUUCCAUGGGACCAUGCAUAGUUCUGUUCUGAUAAACUUUAAUGCAUCAUGUUUAAAAAAAAAAAAAAAUACAUUCUUUGAGCAGAUCUUGAAGUUGCAACAUACUGCACUUUCUCUAAUAUCUUCCUAUUCUAAUUUUGUAAAGUCAUUAUUAUGGAUGUGUUUGUGAAAUCAAUAUUGAACUAUUGCUUAGCAGAUUUAUAGUCUGACUUCUAAAAAUGUUUUUACAGUUGCUUUAGAAGUGGUUAUUAAAGUCUAAAUGGUCUUUAUAGUCCA